rnacentral:rRNA from 1 species
UGGGGAAUAUUGGACAAUGGGCGAAAGCCUGAUCCAGCCAUGCCGCGUGUGUGAAGAAGGUCUUCGGAUUGUAAAGCACUUUAAGUUGGGAGGAAGGGCAGUAACCUAAUACGUUUCUGUCUUGACGUUACCGACAGAAUAAGCACCGGCUAACUCUGUGCCAGCAGCCGCGGUAAUACAGAGGGUGCAAGCGUUAAUCGGAAUUACUGGGCGUAAAGCGCGCGUAGGUGGUUUGUUAAGUUGGAUGUGAAAUCCCCGGGCUCAACCUGGGAACUGCAUUCAAAACUGACAAGCUAGAGUAUGGUAGAGGGUGGUGGAAUUUCCUGUGUAGCGGUGAAAUGCGUAGAUAUAGGAAGGAACACCAGUGGCGAAGGCGACCACCUGGACUGAUACUGACACUGAGGUGCGAAAGCAUGGGUAGCGAACAGGAUUAGAUACCCGCGUAGUCCCUGAGCGGGCUGGCAAGGCGCAU